GCGAACCGGGGGAACUGAAACAUCUAAGUACCUCGAGGAAAAGAAAUCAACCGAGAUUCCGAAAGUAGCGGCGAGCGAAAUUGGACUAGCCCUUAAGCUUUUUAUGCGUCAGGUGAAACUUCUGGAAAGUUGUGCGAUACAGGGUGAUAGCCCCGUAACCGGCAACGCAUUUAAAGUGAAAUCGAGUAGGGCGGGACACGUGAUAUCCUGUCUGAAUAUGGGGGGACCAUCCUCCAAGGCUAAAUACUACUGACUGACCGAUAGUGAACCAGUACCGUGAGGGAAAGGCGAAAAGAACCCCUGUGAGGGGAGUGAAAUAGAACCUGAAACCGUGUACGUACAAGCAGUAGGAGCACCUUCGUGGUGUGACUGCGUACCUUUUGUAUAAUGGGUCAGCGACUUAUAUUCAGUGGCAAGGUUAACCAUCUAGGGGAGCCGUAGGGAAACCGAGUCUUAACUGGGCGUUCAGUCUCUGGAUAUAGACCCGAAACCAGGUGAUCUAGCCAUGGGCAGGUUGAAGGUUGAGUAACAUCAACUGGAGGACCGAACCGACUAAUGUUGAAAAAUUAGCGGAUGACUUGUGGCUAGGGGUGAAAGGCCAAUCAAACCUGGAGAUAGCUGGUUCUCCCCGAAAGCUAUUUAGGUAGCGCCUCGGACGAAUACUACUGGGGGUAGAGCACUGUUAAGGCUAGGGGGUCAUCCCGACUUACCAACCCUUUGCAAACUCCGAAUACCAGUAAGUACUAUCCGGGAGACACACGGCGGGUGCUAACGUCCGUCGUGGAGAGGGAAACAACCCAGACCGCCAGCUAAGGUCCCAAAUUACUACUAAGUGGGAAACGAUGUGGGAAGGCUCAGACAGCCAGGAUGUUGGCUUAGAAGCAGCCAUCAUUUAAAGAAAGCGUAAUAGCUCACUGGUCGAGUCGGCCUGCGCGGAAGAUGUAACGGGGCUAAGUAGUAAACCGAAGCUGCGGCAAUGCACUUUAGUGCAUUGGGUAGGGGAGCGUUCUGUAAGCGGUUGAAGGUGUGUGGUAACGCAUGCUGGACGUAUCAGAAGUGCGAAUGCUGACAUGAGUAACGAUAAAGGGGGUGAAAAACCUCCUCGCCGGAAGACCAAGGGUUCCUGUCCAACGUUAAUCGGGGCAGGGUAAGUCGACCCCUAAGGCGAGGCCGAAAGGCGUAGUCGAUGGGAAACGGGUUAAUAUUCCCGUACUUCUUACAAUUGCGAUGGGGGGACGGAGAAGGCUAGGUGGGCCUGGCGACGGUUGUCCAGGUUCAAGUGCGUAGGCUUAAGAGUUAGGUAAAUCCGGCUCUUUUUAAGGCUGAGACACGACGUCGAGCUACUACGGUAGUGAAGUCAUUGAUGCCAUGCUUCCAGGAAAAGCCUCUAAGCUUCAGAUUGUAAGGAAUCGUACCCCAAACCGACACAGGUGGUCGGGUAGAGAAUACCAAGGCGCUUGAGAGAACUCGGGUGAAGGAACUAGGCAAAAUGGUACCGUAACUUCGGGAGAAGGUACGCUCUCGACGGUGAAGUCCCUCGCGGAUGGAGCUAUUGAGAGUCGCAGAUACCAGGUGGCUGCAACUGUUUAUUAAAAACACAGCACUGUGCAAAAUCGUAAGAUGACGUAUACGGUGUGACGCCUGCCCGGUGCCGGAAGGUUAAUUGAUGGGGUUAGACUUCGGUCGAAGCUCUUGAUCGAAGCCCCGGUAAACGGCGGCCGUAACUAUAACGGUCCUAAGGUAGCGAAAUUCCUUGUCGGGUAAGUUCCGACCUGCACGAAUGGCGUAAUGAUGGCCACGCUGUCUCCACCCGAGACUCAGUGAAAUUGAAAUCGCUGUGAAGAUGCAGUGUACCCGCGGCUAGACGGAAAGACCCCGUGAACCUUUACUACAGCUUGGCACUGAACAUUGACCCUACAUGUGUAGGAUAGGUGGGAGGCUUUGAAGCACGGUCGCUAGAUUGU
rnacentral:rRNA from 1 species